rnacentral:rRNA from 1 species
AGCGAACGCUGGCGGCAUGCCUAACACAUGCAAGUCGAACGAACCUUUCGGGGUUAGUGGCGGACGGGUGAGUAACACGUGGGAACGUGCCUUUAGGUUCGGAAUAACUCAGGGAAACUUGUGCUAAUACCGCAUGUGCCCUUCGGGUGAAAGAUUAAUGGCCUUUAGAUCGGCCCGCUUCUGAUUAGCUAGUUGGUUGAGGUAAUGGCUCACCAAGGCGACGAUCAGUAGCUGGUCUGAGAGGAUGAUCAGCCACAUUGGGACUGAGACACGGCCCAAACUCCUACGGGAGGCAGCAGUGGGGAAUCUUGCGCAAUGGGCGAAAGCCUGACGCAGCCAUGCCGCGUGAAUGAUGAAGGUCUUAGUAUUGUAAAAUUCUUUCACCGGGGACGAUAAUGACGGUACCCGGAGAAGAAGCCCCGGCUAACUUCGUG